GUCGUCCUAGCUCAAUCAGAAAGAGCGCCGCUCUGCGAAGGCGGAGGUUCCGGGGGCAGAUCCUGGGGACGAUACCA
rnacentral:tRNA from 1 species